rnacentral:rRNA from 1 species
AACGAACGCUGGCGGCAGGCUUAACACAUGCAAGUCGAACGGAAACACCGUGCUUUCGUGCGGUUCUGGGGUGCCGAACGGGUAAGUAACACGUGUGUAACCUGCCCUUCACUUUGGGAUAACUUAACGAAACUGAGGCUAAUACAGGACCGGAUCUCCCGCUGCAUGGUGGGCGUUGGAUAGUUUCGGCGGUUGGGGAUGGACUCGCGGCUUAUCAGCUUGUUGGUGGGGUAGUGGCAUACCAAGGCUUUGACGGGUAGCCGGCCUGUGAGGGUGACCGGCCACAUUGGGACUGAGAUACGGCCCAGACUCCUCCGGGAGGCAGCAGUGGGGAAUAUUGCACAAUGGGCGGAAGCCUGAUGCAGCAACGCCGCGUGCGGGAUGACGGCCUUCGGGUUGUAAACCGCUUUCGCCUGUGACGAAGCGUGAGUGACGGUAAUGGGUAAAGAAGCACCGGCUAACUACGUG